AGAGCGACGGGAUCCACCGCGCGGGUGAGCACCAUGUAGUCGCGCAGGACGAUCGCCUGACGGUUCUC
rfam:Rhodococcus sp. CTA-806 NODE_56_length_59226_cov_4.93799_ID_111, whole genome shotgun sequence.